GACGAACGCUGGCGGCGUGCUUAACACACGCAAGUCGAGCGGAAAGGCCCUUCGGGUACUCGAGCGGCGAACGGGUGAGUAACACGUGGGUAACCUGCCCCUUGCUCUGGGAUAACUCCGGGAAACCGGGGCUAAUACCGGAUACGACCACUUUAGGCAUCUUCGGUGGUGGAAAGUUUUUCGGUCGAGGGAUGGACCCGCGGCCUAUCAGCUUGUUGGUGGGGUAAUGGCCUACCAAGGCAGUGACGGGUAGCCGGCCUGAGAGGGCGACCGGCCACACUGGGACUGAGACACGGCCCAGACUCCUACGGGAGGCAGCAGUGGGGAAUAUUGCGCAAUGGGCGAAAGCCUGACGCAGCGACGCCGCGUGAGGGAUGACGGCCUUCGGUU
rnacentral:rRNA from 1 species